UACCAGCACCCCGAGUGGUCGGGACGUUUUAUUGGGCCUAAAGCAUCCGUAGCCGGUUCUACGAGUCUUCCGUUAAAUCCAACUGCUUAACAGGUGGGCUGCGGAAGAUACUAUAGAGCUAGGAGGCGGGAGAGGCAAGCGGUACUCGAUGGGUAGGGGUAAAAUCCGUUGAUCCAUUGAAGACCACCAGUGGCGAAGGCGGCUUGCCAGAACGCGCUCGACGGUGAGGGAUGAAAGCUGGGGGAGCAAACCGGG
rnacentral:rRNA from 1 species